rnacentral:rRNA from 1 species
UACGUAGGGUGCAAGCGUUGUCCGGAAUUAUUGGGCGUAAAGAGCUCGUAGGCGGUUUGUCGCGUCGGCUGUGAAAUCCCGAGGCUCAACCUCGGGCCUGCAGUCGAUACGGGCAAACUAGAGUGUGGUAGGGGAGACUGGAAUUCCUGGUGUAGCGGUGAAAUGCGCAGAUAUCAGGAGGAACACCGGCGGCGAAGGCGGGUCUCUGGGCCAUAACGGACGCUGAGGAGCGAAAGCGUGGGGAGCGAACAGG